AUUGAACGCUGGCGGCAUGCCUUACACAUGCAAGUCGAACGGUAACAGGGAGCUUGCUCCGCUGACGAGUGGCGAACGGGUGAGUAAUAUAUCGGAACGUACCAUUGAGUGGGGGAUAACGUAGCGAAAGUUGCGCUAAUACCGCAUAUUCUCUCCGGAGGAAAGCAGGGGACCGCAAGGCCUUGCGCUCAUUGAGCGGCCGAUAUCAGAUUAGCUAGUUGGUGGGGUAAAAGCUCACCAAGGCGACGAUCUGUAGCGGGUCUGAGAGGAUGAUCCGCCACACUGGAACUGAGACACGGUCCAGACUCCUACGGGAGGCAGCAGCGGGGAAUUUUGGACAAUGGGGGCAACCCUGAUCCAGCCAUGCCGCGUGAGUGAAGAAGGCCUUCGGUUGUAAAGCUCUUUCUAGCCGGAAGAAAACGACAUUGUUAAUACCUGGUGUGGAUGACGGUACCGGAAGUAAGAAGCACCGGCGUAACUACGUGCCAGCACG
rnacentral:rRNA from 1 species